CUUACCUUUCUUACUCUCAUCUCUAGACCUCCUUCUCUCCCUCCCUUCUACCCUUCUCUCCAAGUGGCCAUGGCUGGUCUCCCUCUUUCUACCUUCUCUCUUUCUCCUUGCCUUUCUACAAUUAAGCUCUAAAACCAUAGACUGUCUCUGCUCAUCAAGGCCCGCUGUACUUGAAAGAUGGGAUGGGCUUUCCCCUAAAGAGCUGCUUCUAACCUCCCAACGGAAGGCCUUCCUGUGCUCCAGCAACUGACAGAACCAAGAACUCUUGCCCUCAUGAGAACUGUCCAGCGCCCCCUCUCUCCCUGCCCUCUCCUUCCUUUGGCCCCAGAGACCUCAGACUGCUCCUUGUCUACCCCCCACUGGACUAGGGUUCCCUGGCUUCCCAUAGCCAGACACCCACCCGGCGCCACUUGGAAAGCAUGCAGCAGUCCUCCGGCAUCCACCCGCCCAGAGCACCAGAACUCCGGUGGGACUCAGGUUUUCCCCCACCUCCUUUAGAGAACUGAUCUAAUAUGGAAACAAUUUGUUCUAUACUUCAAGUGAAAGAAUACUUAUUGAUUAAUGCUGCAUUGGAGGUCAUCACUGGGGAUAUUAUCCAAUGAAGACAUUCUCAUGGAAGCUCUCUCAGCCCCUUCCAUACUGUGAAAGCUAUUCCUCAGGGAGGAAGAUUUGAGGUCAGGUCCAGUUCACAUCAUCUAAAGUCCUAUGCUCAAAUGCCCUGUGUAUUCACUAUCAUGAACUUCAAAGACUGGACACUGAAGAUUUACCAUUUUGUAACAUUCAGUUGCGACUCUCGGGAAAAGCAGACAAUCAAGCAUGGACAAGUGGUAGUAGUCUUUCAUUCACAUAUAUUUUAAGAUUUCUUAAGUGGCUUAAUAUA
rnacentral:lncRNA from 1 species